rnacentral:sRNA from 1 species
GACAAGAUCUCACAGUGUUGCUCAGCUGGUCUCAAAUUCCUGGACUCCAGUGAUCCUCCCACCUCAGCCCCUGAAAGUGCUGAUUAUAGGCAGGAGCCACCAUCCCCAGCCUGACCUUCUAUUUUUUCCUUUGUGCCACUUCUUAAAUUUUGAAUAGGUUGAUAUUAUCACUGAUAUCCUUAGCAUUUUAUAUUUUGCGUAGCAGUCUCUUCAGAAACAAAAAUUGUUGUAACGAUUUUAUGCUUCACAAUAUGUUGAAGCGCCUUUCCUUUGUCCCCACAGCAAACCAUCCUGGGGCUUGCCCAUAGAUGCUGUUCAGUGGGAUAUCUGCAAUCUGCCAUUGAGAACUGGCUCUGUGGAUAUUAUUGUAACAGAUUUGCCAUUUGGAAAAAGGAUGGGAUCCAAGAAGAGAAACUGGAACCUUUAUCCAGCUUGCCUACGGGAAAUGAGCCGUGUCUGCACACCUACCACAGGCCGAGCUGUACUACUUACUCAAGACACAAAAUGCUUUACCAAGGUGCUAUACACAUUAGCUCAAAAUCGCAGCCUGUGGCAACU